UGAGAACUCUUAUCUUUUUGUUCUGCAGAGCUGCUUUUCAGUUUGGUAUCAAGAUGUCUGAAGGACGCAAAACACGGCGUGCAGGCCCCAAAGACGAGAAGGCUAAGCUAGACAGAGAUUGGCAAAAAAUCAGUCAGAUGUUGACCAAAAGAAAAGGAGAUGAAGGGAAAGGCGAUCACUCUGAUAGCAAGAGAAGAAAACACUAAGAACUGACAGCAGCCCCUGUAAUUUGUAUAAUUGUAUACCUCCACACAACCACAUGCAUGCUAUUGCUAUCUGGCUUCACCAUUUUUUGUUGUGUAAAGAUGAUGAUUAAACCCCUGUUUACUAGUUUUUACGUUCUAAAAUUGUGUGCCAACUUCUACACCAACAUUGGCAAUUGUUUUUUUCUAAAGGUGGUGUAAAUCAUUUUUGAAACUUUGGGGGUUUGUGAGUAAAGAUUGCUCUGAAGAACGGACUAUCUAUGUGAAGGCAUCAAUGAUCAUUGCAAUUAUAUACAGAACUUAAGCAGCUGUGAAAUGUGAAAUUAAAGCUUGGGAAAAAUUCAGGCUUCAGUGGGGUGCAAAUCCAUCCAAAUCUGAAUUUUUUCCCUCAGGCUUUAACUUCACAGCUGCUUAAGGUGUGUAUAUAACUGUGAUGAUCCUUGAUGUCUUCAUAUCUUUCUCCGCAGUUCAAAUAUAUGAUAUUACAUAUGUCCAUUUGCAGACUAUAUGUGUAUAGAAUUAAGGCUUGUAGUCUAAGGAGACAUCUAAGGUGUUGGCUGUUGGCAAUGACAAUAGCUUAUUCCAGGUUCUCAGAUAAGUUGAUCAAAAUAAUAGUGGAAAAAGUAAACAAAAAGGGAAAUGUACUUGUCAUAACGUCCACCCUUUCUCUCUCUCCCCCUGGUGGCCCAAUUUUAUUUCUUUUCCAGAAUCUCUGAGCCUUGAACAGGCCUUUUACAAGUUAUCAAACUUUGGUCUUCUAAGAUGUUUUGUGUCAUGUAAUAAUGGCAUUGUACAUGCACCUUUUGGUAAUUAAAAUUAAAAGCACAACUGAGACCAUU